GACGAACGCUGGCGGCGUGCCUAAUACAUGCAAGUCGAGCGGAAGUUGGAGAGCUUGCUCUUCAACUUUAGCGGCGGACGGGUGAGUAACACGUGGGCAACCUGCCCUGCAGAUCGGGAUAACUCCGGGAAACCGGUGCUAAUACCGAAUAGUUUUCGCCACCUCCUGGUGGCGUACGGAAAGACGGUUUCGGCUGUCACUGCAGGAUGGGCCCGCGGCGCAUUAGCUAGUUGGUGGGGUAACGGCCCACCAAGGCAACGAUGCGUAGCCGACCUGGGAGAGUGAUCGGCCAGACGGGGACUGAGACACGGCCCAGACGCCUACGGGAGGCAGCAGUAGGGAAUCUUGCGCAAUGGACGAAAGUCUGACGGAGCAACGCCGCGUGAGUGACGAAGGUUUUCGGAUCGUAAAACUCUGUUGUGAGGGAAGAACAAGUACCAAUUAACUACUGGUACCUUGACGGUACCUCACCAGAAAGCCACGGCUAACUACGUGCCAGCAGCCGCAGUAA
rnacentral:rRNA from 1 species